CGGACAAUGGAGCCCAUGUUUUUUAACUCCUUGUCUCUGAGCCUUUAUUCCUUUCCUCCCUCCCUCUCUCUCUCUCUCUCUCUCUGUCUCUCUCUCUCCCUCUCUCUCUCUCUCUCUGUCUCUGUCUGUCUCUCUGUCUCUCUGUCUCUCCCUCUCUCCUUCUCUAUCUCUCUCUCUCUCUCCUUUUCUCUCUCUCUCUCUGUCUGUCUGUCUCUGUCUCUGUCUCUCUCCUCUCUCUGUCUCUCUCUCUCUGUGUGUCUCUCUGUGUCUCUCUUUCUCUCUCUCUGUCUCUCUCUCUAUCUCUCUGUCUCUCUCUGUCUCUCUGUGUCUCUCUCUCUGUCUCUCUCUCUCUCCCUCUCUCUUUCUCUCUCUCUGUCUCUCUCUCUGUCUCUAUCUGUCUCUCUCUCUCUCUGUGUCUCUCUGUGUCUCUCUUUCUCCCUCUCUCUCUCUCUCUCUCUGUCUCUCUCUCCGUCUCUCUGUCUCUCUCUCUGUCCCUCUCUGUCUGUCUCUCUCCCUCAACCCUCCCCAAGAAAUCCAACAACAUGUUAUAUGCUAUAGGUUGUACAUAUAUGACCAUACGACACAUAUUUCCAUGUUUGUCAUAUUGUGAAAGAAGACACACAUUGCCUACAUGAGAGAAAACUUCGUGGAGGCAAUCAAGUGAAGAAUGGCAUGCUUCAAUCUGCGUUCAGACGUCAUCUGCCCCCUCUAUGGGGGUGCCUAGAGAGCCUUUUGCAUCAUGAGUCCCUUGGAGUUGUCCUGGAUCCUUCCCUUGUUGGAAACAGCGAAGUCAGCCACAGCUGAUCAUACGUUAUUGCUGUUACCCUGGACGGCAUCCUCCAGGUUCUGCUCCCUUCGCUUGGCAUCACUUCACAUCAGUCUUUCCCGGUUUUUUCAAGAUCAUCUUCAUCAUCUCUUAUGGCACAACAGUGUCCCAUCCCAAUCAUAUACCAUAACUUGUCAGAUCGUCUAUUGGGGCAAAGAGAUUAUAAUCGAGAAAAGCCACCAAACCACGGCACUGGGAUGACAAUCUGGGAAGCCGAUCAGUCCUGAUAGUUUCCUCAUAAGGAGGUCCCAGCGCAGAGCCAGACUAAAAAUACCUCCCCGAC
rnacentral:lncRNA from 1 species